UCGAAACCUGCCCAGCAGAACGACCAGCGAACAUGUUAUUMCCAUGCAAGGGGUGGGGUUGCUGGCUUGCCCAGUCCCUCCCCGAUGUCGGGUGUUGAUCCUACGGGAAUCAACCCUGGCAAAACAACAACCCCCGGCGUGUCAAGCGCCAAGGAACAAUAUCAUGUGUUUGUCAGUCCGUGCUCGGGUUUCCGGUGCAUGGACGUGGCACAAAGUCAUAAAACGA
rnacentral:misc_RNA from 1 species